AACGAACGCUGGCGGCAUGCCUAACACAUGCAAGUCGAACGAGACCUUCGGGUCUAGUUGCGCACGUGUGCGUACCGCGUGGGAACCUGCCCUUAGGUUCGGAAUAACUCCCCGAAAGGUGUGCUAAUACCGGUUAAUGUCUUCGGACCAAAGAUUUAUCGCGUUUGGAUGGGCCCUCGUUGGAUUAGCUAGUUGGUAGGGUACAAGCCUACCAAGGCGACGAUCCAUAGCUGGUCUGAGAGGAUGAUCAGCAACACUGGGACUGAGACACGGCCCAGACUCCGACGGGAGGCAGCAGAGGGGAAUAUUGGACAAUGGGCGAAAGCCUGAUAAAGCAAUGCCGCGUGAGUGAUGAAGGCCUUAGGGUUGUAAAGCUCUUUUAGCCGGGAUGAGAAUGACAGUACCGGGAGAAUAAGCUCCGGCUAACUCCGUG
rnacentral:rRNA from 1 species